ensembl:lncRNA
AAGAAAAAAAAGCAUUAUGUAAGGUUUAAAAGACUGGAAUCGAUUGAGGGCAAAACACUAUGGUUAUUUUAAAAAGAAUAUUUUUUCUUCCCACAGAUUCUCAAGGGAACAUUGCUGUCUUACUACAGUUGAUUUCACUUUAUCCAUCCUUAUGUAUAGGAAGAUCUCUAUCCUGUCAUUCAGAAAGUGAGGAAUGUUUCUCAUCCUACAGCUACAUUCCUCUGAGAAAUUGAUCCUACCACCUACUUCAUCCUGUGGAAUUUCAGCACAGUGCUAACUCUCAGUGAAUGUGUUUAUUGUAUGGGAAUUGAUAAGUCAUGGCCUGAACCAAUGAUUGAGCACCUGAUGAAGGGACACAGCCAGCUCAGGGAUCAUGAGUGAAAACAAUUCACCUGUGUGACUGGAAGGGCUGGAACCAGGUUUCAUCCUUCCCUCAGCGUCAUUUACAUGCUGGCUGCCCCAAGGGAUGGAUCUCUACUUGGAGAUCCCUCCUUUUGGAGUAUUUGGUGAGCCCCGAUCUUUGGGAUAGG